CCAGGCCGGACGUCCCGUAGCCCUGGGUGGAGAGGGACGCCGGGGACUGGUUCAGAUGGCUUGUGACCGCGUUUGUGCUCAUCGGACUGAGAGUUGAACCAGGCCCUGACAACUGGUGGUGCAUGGGAGUGAGAGCCAGCCAGUCUGCUCCCAUCCGCCUCAUACAGGCCUGCACCAAAAUACACCCAGAAUAUCUGCAGGGGAGUUCCCACCGAGAGGAACCGAGCAGCCGAGGACUUACAGGCACCGGGACCUGCAGUGUAUCUACACCCAGGGAUCAGGAGAAAUGACAGGGGAGAAGGCAGAGAAAGGCCGGCUGUGCAGUUGGAGACAAGCAGAGCUACUUUCUCUUAUUUCACCUGACACAUGUUCAGCAAAAUGUGAAAGAACAUAAAAGAGAAACGUGAAGAAGAUUUCGAUCAGUGGAAGCGGAUGAAUGGAUCAUAUCCCUGGAUUUUAUUUAACAGCUAAACAUGAGAUUUGAUCUCAGCAGAGGAAAAGUUUUGCUGUGAGUCUGCCUGUUUGGAGGAGAGGAACUGCAACCCGUUCAGGAGUUCGCCAACAAACAAACGGAUGCAAUUAAACACACUCGCCGUCAGAUCAUCAAUGAGGAGGCAAAGUCAAGACUGGUGGAAAAACCGACAAGGACAAAUAUAAGACGGGAGAAGACUCUGCUGCUUCAAGGUUAAACUUGAACUGUGCAAAGAGCUCGUCUUCACACAAUCUAGAUAGUUUUCUUCAAAGACACAUCACUAGCUGUUUUUUUUUAUAAUAAAUGUCCUCAGUUUACAACUUGAUAUAACUCUUAAUUGAUGUUAUAUUUUGAUUUCAUUGCUAAAUAAUUAAAUCUGACGUAUAUAAUAUCAUAUCCCUGUUUCGUCUCUACCUCCACACUGUCUUGGAAGUAAUUAAAAAAGUAUUUGCAAAUAAAGACUAUCAUUAUCAGACCACCA